UGUGCUUGAGUGUAAUAAUAUGAAUUUUUGGUAUUCAAGAUUAAAAUUAAGAGUUUUGAAGUACAA
rnacentral:tRNA from 1 species